UACGUAGGGUGCGAGCGUUGUCCGGAAUUAUUGGGCGUAAAGGGCUCGUAGGCGGUUUGUCGCGUCGGGAGUGAAAACUCAGGGCUUAACCCUGAGCCUGCUUCCGAUACGGGCAGACUAGAGGUAUGCAGGGGAGAACGGAAUUCCUGGUGUAGCGGUGAAAUGCGCAGAUAUCAGGAGGAACACCGGUGGCGAAGGCGGUUCUCGUGGGCAGAUACUGAC
rnacentral:rRNA from 1 species